rnacentral:rRNA from 1 species
GGCUUAAUUUGACUCAACGCGGGAAAUCUUACCGGGUCCGGACACACUGAGGAUUGACAGACAAAUAUGGAAAUUUUAUAUUUCUCAUAUAUAAAGAUGCUAGUUCUUUCAUGAUUAUGUGAUAGGUGGUGCAUGGCCGUUCUUAGUUCGUGGAGUGAUCUGUCUGCUUAAUUGCGUUUCAAUUUUUAUUAUGUAUACGUAUGACCCACGUUUACGCGUGCGAGUCUAGUAUGCUAUCAUUUGAAAGCAACGAACGUGACCGUAUCCUUUUAUUAUAUACGCACGCGUAUAUUUAUUCAUUAAAGGGACCGCUGUUUCUUUUUUUAAACCAGAGGAAGGUUACGGCAAUAACAGGUCUGUGAUGC